rnacentral:lncRNA from 9 species
CAAACUAGUGCCCUUGGAGGUGGAAGGAUACUUUCAGUGGCCGUCGAAGGAACUGGGAUCGUGGCUGGGCGGGGCUCGUGGCUGGGCAGGGUGGUGUCUGGGCAACACCCCACCUCCACCGAGGCUGCGCAGCGAGCGGAUCACCUCCGCUGCCCGCGCCCCCUGCAAGCGGGCUUUUCUCCACGUCCUAGGCGCACUGAGGGGAAUUCUGACCGCUCAUGUCCUCUAGCAUUUUACCCCACCUGGGGAAUGCCCGGGCCCUCCCCGCAGGAGGCUGGUCGGGUUGUACCUCACAUAUAUACGAGGCUCCGCUUUUUCAUGUACACUUGAGGGAGCGAGGCGCCUAGUGAGUAGGUGUUGACCAUAAAAGGCUGUCCCUGAAGGCUGUCCUAGUGGACCCCCUACAAAGAACAAUGGGAAGAGAGCGCCACUGAGGGCUGCAGUGAACGCCUCAGCUCCACGAGGUGUUCCAUGAGGCUCCUACAUUGCCCAGGUUGGAGCUACAAACUCCCGUUGCAUCCCAUCUGGAUAUCCCAAGGGUAUUACUUCAAAGAAUGUCUUUAUACGCUAUCAAGAGGACAGCUGUAUUCCCAGUGUUGCAUACAAGAGUACCUGAUACAUGGUAAGAGCUCAAUAUUGAAUAAUAAAUGAAUGAGUGAGUGAGUGAAUAAAUGAAGAUAUGUUAGAAAGCUCCAUGGUAGGAUCUUGUUCAGUGGAGAGAUCAGGAGGAAAGAGAUGAGGGAAUCAAUCACUGAGCUAUGAUAAUAGUUGUGUGCUUUGAUAUUUAAGCUGAUCAUAAGAUGGCAGCAUACUUAGCAACCAGAUCUUGGUUUCUACAUAACAUUUUCCAGGAAAACAGAGCAGGAAUCCUUGGAGAAAUAGCUGAUUCUAGGAUUGGAGCAGGGAAAAUACAAGAUGAGUCUGGAGUAUCAUGUUGUGCCAGAAAAUCAUGAAGUGCUCAAGUGGCCAUAAGUGUGGGCUGAACUUAAUGACUGUUCUAACAGACAGAAUAUGGGAAGGGGAAAACAGUAACCAUAGUAACAAGAGAAACGUGGCAGAUCUUUGGUUACCUUAACCAAGUGAUCAAGAUUAGCAUCACCAGUAAUACAUAUUGACAUCAUGGACUCCCUAACAUGGUGUAAUGAGAAACACACUUCUCUUAGGGGAUAUUCUUCCAUAAGACCUGUAAACUCUAUCUAAUCAUGAGAAAAUUUUGGAUAAUCUAAAGUGAGGAGCAGUGUAAGAAAUAUCUGACCAGUGUAUUUAAAGGUGUCAAGGUCAUGAAAAAAACCAGGGAAGGCUGAGAAGCUGUUGAAGAGUCAAAGGAGAAUGAGACAGGAUAACUAAAUGUAACGUGAUGUCCUGGAACAAAAGAAGGAUAUUGUUAGAAAACCUGUUGCAAUCUAAAUAAUUCUAUAAGUUUAGUUAAUUUCACUGUACCAAUGCUGAUUUCAUGGCUCUGAUAAAUGGGCCAUGGUUACUUAAGAUGUUAACACUAACACCCUG